GUUUAACACUUCAUGACUGAGAGCAGAACAGAACACAAUCUUCAUCAUCACACAAGACACAACAACAACAAUGAACAACAUCAUCAUCCUCAUCUGGACUCUCACACUGUUUGCUCAAGAGUGUAGAGGACAGAUCACUGUAACUCAGAGUCCAUCAAUAACAGCAGCUCUACCAGGACAAGAAGUCAGAAUAAACUGUAAAACCAGCAGUAAUGUGUACAGUGAUAGUUAUGGGUCAAGGAUGGCCUGGUAUUUACAGAAACCUGGAGAAGCUCCUAAACUCCUCAUAUAUUAUAUAUCAACCCGUUUCACUGGAACUUCAUCUAGAUUCAGUGGCAGUGGAUCUAACAGUGAUUUCACUCUGACCAUCAGUGGAGUCCAGACUGAAGAUACAGGAGAUUAUUACUGUCAGAGUGCACACUAUAUCAGUAGUAGCUAUGUGUUCACACAGUGAUAAAGAGUCGUACAAAAACCUCCGUCAGUCAGAGUCACAGUGACUGCACUGAUACAGCUGAGAGAUACUGCAGCUGCUGAUGGAUGUGAAUCAUCUCAGUCACUCUUGUCUGUAGAUCAUUAAAUUUCAAUGCAGAAAACUAGCUAUCUAUUAGCAGAAACCAAACAUUUCCAUUCAUAAGUUGCAUCAGGACACUUUUCCAUCAUUAAAGUUUAGGGAAUAGCCUCAAAGUCCAGAUUGAGUCUUGCCUUCACUACACAACUCUCUGACUACAUGAAUAACUGCUGCUCACAUCACAGAAGACUUCUGCUCAUCUUUCAUCUCUGUGUUGUAGUUAUGCAGCUUC